CAGCGCGCGGUCGGCGCUGGGGCGAGGUGCGGGAUGCGGCGCCGGCUGGGAGCGGAAGCGCCAUGGGGAGCACAGGGAGAUGGAGAUUAUUCUUCUGCUGUGUUGGCCCUCCACCAGACAAUGAAUCUCUUCUAAGAUGUUGUUCAAACAAAGUUCAUCCAGAGUGGGCUGGUGAAUCUGAGAAGGAAGGUGAAGAUUCAAACCAGGAAAUCACAUGGCCAGAAGGACCU